UACGUAGGCGGCGAGCGUUGUCCGGAAUUAUUGGGCGUAAAGGGCGCGCAGGCGGGUCGGUAAGUCUGACUUAAAAGUUCGGGGCUUAACCCCGUGAGGGGAGGGAAACUGCUGAUCUAGAGUACAGGAGAGGAAAGUGGAAUUCCUAGUGUAGCGGUGAAAUGCGUAGAUAUUAGGAAGAACACCAGUGGCGAAGGCGACUUUCUGGACGAAAACUGACGCUGAGGCGCGAAAGCCAGGGGAGCGAACGGG
rnacentral:rRNA from 1 species